GGAGGAUCUCAGAGAAACUGUUCAAGAGUGUUAUGAAUUCGCAGCAGAGUAUGAGAGAAAGCGUGACCCUAAAAAGUUAGAGGAACUUGGGAAUGCUUUGACAAGUUUGGAUCCUGGGGAUUCUAUUGUUGUAGCAAAAUCUUUUUCCCAUAUGCUUAAUUUAGCUAAUUUAGCUGAGGAAGUUCAGAUUGCCUAUAGAAGGAG
rnacentral:misc_RNA from 1 species